rnacentral:rRNA from 1 species
AUUGAACGCUGGCGGCAGGCCUAACACAUGCAAGUCGAGCGGGGUUUUCGGACCUAGCGGCGGACGGGUGAGUAAUGCGUAGGAAGCUGCCCGAUAGAGGGGGAUACCAGUUGGAAACGACUGUUAAUACCGCAUAAUGUCUACGGACCAAAGUGUGGGACCUUCGGGCCACAUGCUAUCGGAUGCGCCUACGUUGGAUUAGCUAGUUGGUGAGGUAAUGGCUCACCAAGGCGACGAUCUCUGGCUGGUUUGAGAGGAUGAUCAGCCACACUGGAACUGAGACACGAUCCGGACUCCUACGGGAGGCAGCAGUGGGGAAUAUUGGACAAUGGGCGCAAGCCUGAUCCAGCCAUGCCGCGUGUGUGAAGAAGGCCUUCGGGUUGUAAAGCACUUUCAGCGAGGAGGAAGGGGUGUGUGUUAAUAGUACACACCUUUGACGUUACUCGCAGAAGAAGCACCGGCUAACUCUGUGCCAGCCGCCGCGGUAACAC